AGUGAACGCUGGCGGUAGGCCUAACACAUGCAAGUCGAACGGCAGCACAGUAAGAGCUUGCUCUUACGGGUGGCGAGUGGCGGACGGGUGAGGAAUACAUCGGAAUCUACUUUUUCGUGGGGGAUAACGUAGGGAAACUUACGCUAAUACCGCAUACGACCUACGGGUGAAAGCAGGGGAUCUUCGGACCUUGCGCGAUUGAAUGAGCCGAUGUCGGAUUAGCUAGUUGGCGGGGUAAAGGCCCACCAAGGCGACGAUCCGUAGCUGGUCUGAGAGGAUGACCGACAAAUGGGAAACGGGGACGGGGCCCAACCUCCACGGGGGGCCAGGGGGGGGAAAUUUGGAAAAAGGGGCGAAACCCUGACCCGCCCAAACCGGGGGGGGAAGAAGGCCUUCGGGUUGUAAAGCCCUUUUGUUGGGAAAGAAAAGCAGCAGGUUAAUACCCCGCUGUUCUGACGGUACCCAAAGAAUAAGCACCGGCUAACUUCGU
rnacentral:rRNA from 1 species